CUCAGAGCGAACGCUGGCGGCACGCCUAACACAUGCAAGUCGAGCGAGAAAGUGACUUCGGUCGCGAGUAAAGCGGCGAACGGGUGAGUACAACGUGGAUAAUCUACCCUAAGGUCUGGGACAACCCCGAGAAAUCGGGGCUAAUACCGGAUAAGACCACAGUAUCCAAGGAUACAGCGGUAAAAGAUUUAUCGCCUUUGGACGAGUCCACGCCCCAUCAGGUAGUUGGUAAGGUAAAGGCUUACCAAGCCUAAGACGGGUAGCCGGCCUUAGCGGGUGAACGGCCACAUGGGGACUGAGACACGGCCCUGACUCCUACGGGAGGCAGCAGUGGGGAAUAUUGGGCAAUGGGCGAAAGCCUGACCCAGCGAUGCCGCGUGAGGGAUGAAGGCCUUCGGGUUGUAAACCUCUGUCAGGAGGGACGAUGGGACUUUGUCUUGAGGUACCUCCAGAGGAAGCCCCGGCUAACUCCGUGCCA
rnacentral:rRNA from 1 species